rnacentral:rRNA from 1 species
GAUGAACGCUGGCGGCGUGCCUAAUACAUGCAAGUCGAGCGAACGGACGAGAAGCUUGCUUCUCUGAUGUUAGCGGCGGACGGGUGAGUAACACGUGGAUAACCUACCUAUAAGACUGGGAUAACUUCGGGAAACCGGAGCUAAUACCGGAUGAUAUUUUGAACCGCAUGGUUCAAAAGUGAAAGACGGUCUUGCUGUCACUUAUAGAUGGAUCCGCGCUGCAUUAGCUAGUUGGUAAGGUAACGGCUUACCAAGGCAACGAGGCAUAGCCGACCUGAGAGGGUGAUCGGCCACACUGGAGCUGAGACACGGUCCAGACUCCUACGGGAGGCAGCAGUAGGGAAUCUUCCGCAAUGGGCGAAAGCCUGACGGAGCAACGCCGCGUGAGUGAUGAAGGUCUUCGGAUCGUAAAACUCUGUUAUUAGGGAAGAACAUAUGUGUAAGUAACUGUGCACAUCUUGACGGUACCUAAUCAGAAAGCCACGGCUAACUACGUG